CAGAGGGUGCGAGCGUUGUUCGGAAUUACUGGGCGUAAAGCGCGCGCAGGCGGCCCUUUAAGUCUGUCGGUCAAAUGCCGGGGCUCAACCCCGAGCUCGCCGGAGAUACUGGAGGGCUGGAGACACGUAGAGGCAAGCGGAAUUCCGGGUGUAGCGGUGGAAUGCGUAGAGAUCCGGAAGAACACCGGAGGCGAAGGCGGCUUGCUGGGCGUGAUCUGACGCUGAGGCGCGAAAGCGUGGGGAGCGAACAGGAUUAGAUACCCUGGUAGUCCACGCCGUAAACGAUGGGCACUAGACGCUGGUGGGAUCGACCCCUUCGGUGUCGCAGCUAACGCGAUAAGUGCCCCGCCUGGGGAGUACGGCCGCAAGGCUG
rnacentral:rRNA from 1 species